AUGCACGCUGGCGGCGUGCCUAAUACAUGCAAGUCGAGCGAACAGAUCAGGAGCUUGCUCCUUUGACGUUAGCGGCGGACGGGUGAGUAACACGUGGGUAACCUACCUAUAAGACUGGGAUAACUUCGGGAAACCGGAGCUAAUACCGGAUAAUAUUUCGAACCGCAUGGUUCGAUAGUGAAAGAUGGUUUUGCUAUCACUUAUAGAUGGACCCGCGCCGUAUUAGCUAGUUGGUAAGGUAACGGCUUACCAAGGCGACGAUACGUAGCCGACCUGAGAAGGUGAUCGGCCACACUGGAACUGAGACACGGUCCAGACUCCUACGGGAGGCAGCAGUAGGGAAUCUUCCGCAAUGGGCGAAAGCCUGACGGAGCAACGCCGCGUGAGUGAUGAAGGUCUUCGGAUCGUAAAACUCUGUUAUUAGGGAAGAACAUACGUGUAAGUAACUGUGCACGUCUUGACGGUACCUAAUCAGAAAGCCACGGCUAACUACGUG
rnacentral:rRNA from 1 species